GGGGAUUUAGCUCAGUUGGUAGAGCACUGCUUUUGCACGGCAGGGGUCAGCGGUUCGAGUCCGCUAAUCUCCA
rnacentral:tRNA from 1 species